GCGACACUAGCUCAGUUGGUAGAGCGCAACCUUGCCAAGGUUGAGGUCACGAGUUCGAACCUCGUGU
rnacentral:tRNA from 4 species